rnacentral:rRNA from 1 species
CCCUACGGGGCGCAGCAGUGGGGAAUAUUGCACAAUGGGGGAAACCCUGAUGCAGCGACGCCGCGUGGGUGAAGGAGUAUUUCGGUAUGUAAAGCCCUAUCAGCAGGGAAGAUAAUGACGGUACCUGACUAAGAAGCCCCGGCUAACUACGUGCCAGCAGCCGCGGUAAUACGUAGGGGGCAAGCGUUAUCCGGAUUUACUGGGUGUAAAGGGAGCGUAGACGGCAGCGCAAGCCUGGAGUGAAAGGAUGGG